GCAGAAUAGUUGAGUGGUUAGGGUGUUUGACUCACAGCCGAAAGGUUCUGGGUUCAAUCCCCAAUGUCCCUUGCA